UACGUAGGGGGCAAGCGUUGUCCGGAAUUAUUGGGCGUAAAGAACGCGUAGGCGGUCCGAUAAGUCGGCUGUGAAAGUCAGGGGCUCAACCCUUGAAUGCCGGUGGAUACUGUCGGGCUCGAGUCCGGAAGAGGCGAGUGGAAUUCCUGGUGUAGCGGUGAAAUGCGCAGAUAUCAGGAGGAACACCGGUGGCGAAGGCGGGUCUCUGGGCCGAUACUGACGCUGAGGAGCGAAAGCGUGGGGAGCGAACAGG
rnacentral:rRNA from 1 species